rnacentral:rRNA from 1 species
GAUGAACGCUAGCGGCAGGCCUAACACAUGCAAGUCGAGGGAGAAGCCUUUCGGGGCAGCAACCGGCGCACGGGUGCGUAACGCGUAUGCAACCUACCUUUCACAGGGGGAUAGCCCGAAGAAAUUUGGAUUAAUACCCCAUAAUAUUGUUGGAUGGCAUCAUCUGUUAAUUAAAACUGCGGUGGUGAAAGAUGGGCAUGCGUCCUAUUAGCUAGUUGGAGUGGUAACGGCACCCCAAGGCUACGAUAGGUAGGGGUCCUGAGAGGGAGAUCCCCCACACGGGUACUGAGACAGGGACCAGACUCCUACGGGAGGCAGCAGUGAGGAAUAUUGGUCAAUGGUCGGAAGACUGAACCAGCCAUGCCGCGUGCAGGAAGAAUGCCUUAUGGGUUGUAAACUGCUUUUAUAUGGGAAGAAUAAGGUGUACGUGUACAUUGAUGACGGUACCAUAUGAAUAAGCAUCGGCUAACUCCGUG